UGUGUGUGUGUGUGUGUGUGUGUGUGUGUGUGUGUGACCCCAACCACCGCCAUCAUGGCACCGUCCACCCCAGCAC
rnacentral:miRNA from 1 species